rnacentral:rRNA from 1 species
CAGGUCAGCAUACUGCCGUGAAUACGUUCCCGGGCCUUGUACACACCGUCCGUCACACCAUGAGAGUCGGGAACACCCGAAGUCCGUAGUCUAACUUUACGAGAGGACGCGGCCGAAGGUGGGUUCGAUAAUUGGGGUGAAGUCGUAACAAGGUAUC